rnacentral:lncRNA from 1 species
UGCUCUCUGGAAAAAGUAGUGAUUUCUAAGCUGGUUCUCUUUAAGCAAGUGAUUCCAUGAUAAACAGAUAGAAACGUGUUUCUGCCAUUCACUGGAAGAAAAGCUUUUUGAUCCUUACCUAUGUUACGUUUCUGAGAGCACUAAUUAAUUUAAGGCAUUCUUCUAUUGUGCUGCACUAAAUUCUAGAGUAUAAGCAGCUCCCACAUUGUCAACCACAGCCAGAUAAUGACUCAUUUUUCCAUAACACAAAUGUCCAAUUCCCUGUUUUAGUUUUUAUUCAAGCUUACUGACUGACUCUAUUUAAGUAACACAUGUUAGGACGAAGAAACCCUAGUCCAGGUGGAAGAUUCACUUCAGAAAAGAGUAUGGGGAUCCACAGUGCACUCAGGUUUUAAAAAAUAGAAGAAAUGAGAAAUGACACUUGCACAUAUUAUACACAAAAUUCCUAAUGUAUUUUUGCCUUCAAAUUGAUAUCAUUGUCUUACUAAGCAAAAUUGCCAUUGGUGAUUUUAAAAAUGCAGAAUUCUUCUCCCAACACCCUUUCCUAUCUUGUUUUCAUCUUCACCACUAGCAUCAUCUUGAAGAAAGCACAGCUGAGCCCAGGAGAUAUUAUGAAACCAAAUCUUGCCCAUGACGAUGCUACUAAUAGGCACCGACUUCAUUCAAACUCAAGAGCACCCAAAUGGAUGAUCUGUUUGCUGAAGCAAUCAGUGAAUAAUGAGACAGGAUGAAGAAACUGAAGCUUAGAGAGGUGAUGCAUCUUGAAAAUGCAUUAGAAUUCUCCUGAAAAACAGGACCAACAGGAUGUGAGAACGUUUUAUUUGAAGAAAUUGGCUCACAUGAUUGUGGCGGCUUGACGAGUCCGAAAUCUGAUGGGGUAGGCUGGCAGGCUGGAGACCCAGGGAAGAGGUACAUCUGCUGGCAGAAUCCAUUCUUGCUCAGGGGAGGUCAGUUUCAGGGGCUGUAGUGCUGCACUGUCCACUUUCAGGUGGGACCUGCACAUCAUGCAGAAACACCUAUAAACCAGGCUCGAGCUUCCUCUUCUCUACAUUAAAUCAAGGUAGGCCUGGCACUUCUCACUCACUCAUUGUGGUCCACCUUCUGGUCCAUGUUUGUCAACCAACCAAUCAGUUAUAUAGCACUAACUCCCUGAGUCGCAACAUUAAAUGCAAAAAUGGUGCUCGAUUGGCCCGUCAAUACAUUCAGCCUGAUUCAAUUUUAUGUUUCUUCCAUCUUUAUCCCACACCUUUAAUAUCCAUUCCCCCACAUAUUCCCUGGAUUUCUGACUAAAUUAGAAAACUCGAGUAGUACUUUUGGAAUGUAGUAUGACUCAUGGAUCACAUUUUGUGCCUCACCUUUUGGGACUGCUAGGACUUGAGUCUAGUUAUAGUUCUAGAAGCCAAGAGGUAAUGGGGAUGUGUCCUGAGGAGAAUCAGCAUUGUCUUGGAAGGCAAGUGCAUCGGGGGAGGUCAUGAUUCCUUAAGCAAUGAAAGGUUAGUUCCCUCAGGUGGGGUGGAGAGGACACAUCUACUGGGGUGGAGAAACUGCUUCUACUGACAAAGACGACUCACUGGAAUUUAGGGACUCAAUAUCCUCAGUGCCAUCAAGGCCUUUCCAUACGCUCCCAUUCCAACUUUCAGGGUCCUAUUAAUUCCCAAUCAAUGGCCUCACUUUAGAAGUAGACAACCUGCAAAGUUGAAAAUUCAAUCUGCAUUUUAAUUUAGCCACUUACAGGACGUGAUUCGGAGUAGAUUUUUAACCAUCUUGGCUCUGCAGCUACUGGAGAUAAGGGUCUUCUUCAGGGCAGAAAGUUUCAGGUCACUUAUAUUAUACUUUAGCUGACAAUUGGAAUCCCUGACUCAUCCUUUCUUUUCCCAUUUUGUCCAGUAACAUUAGGGACAACCAAUCUUAUACUUGUUAUUUUGAAAAAUA